UUGAACGCUGGCGGCAGGCCUAACACAUGCAAGUCGAGCGGAUGAAGGGAGCUUGCUCCUGGAUUCAGCGGCGGACGGGUGAGUAAUGCCUAGGAAUCUGCCUGGUAGUGGGGGAUAACGUCCGGAAACGGGCGCUAAUACCGCAUACGUCCUGAGGGAGAAAGUGGGGGAUCUUCGGACCUCACGCUAUCAGAUGAGCCUAGGUCGGAUUAGCUAGUUGGUGGGGUAAAGGCCUACCAAGGCGACGAUCCGUAACUGGUCUGAGAGGAUGAUCAGUCACACUGGAACUGAGACACGGUCCAGACUCCUACGGGAGGCAGCAGUGGGGAAUAUUGGACAAAGGGCGAAAGCCUGAUCCAGCCAUGCCGCGUGUGUGAAGAGGGUCUUCGGAUUGUAAAGCACUUUAAGUUGGGAGGAAGGGCAGUAAGUUAAUACCUUGCUGUUUUGACGUUACCAACAGAAUAAGCACCGGCUAACUUCGUG
rnacentral:rRNA from 1 species